rnacentral:rRNA from 1 species
UGAUCCUGGCUCAGGACGAACGCUGGCGGCGUGCCUAAUACAUGCAAGUCGAGCGGACAGAUGGGAGCUUGCUCCCUGAUGUUAGCGGCGGACGGGUGAGUAACACGUGGGUAACCUGCCUGUAAGACUGGGAUAACUCCGGGAAACCGGGGCUAAUACCGGAUGGUUGUCUUGAACCGCAUGGUUCAGACAUAAAAGGUGGCUUCGGCUACCACUUACAGAUGGACCCGCGGCGCAUUAGCUAGUUGGUGAGGUAACGGCUCACCAAGGCGACGAUGCGUAGCCGACCUGAGAGGGUGAUCGGCCACACUGGGACUGAGACACGGCCCAGACUCCUACGGGAGGCAGCAGUAGGGAAUCUUCCGCAAUGGACGAAAGUCUGACGGAGCAACGCCGCGUGAGUGAUGAAGGUUUUCGGAUCGUAAAGCUCUGUUGUUAGGGAAGAACAAGUGCCGUUCAAAUAGGGCGGCACCUUGACGGUACCUAACCAGAAAGCCACGGCUAACUACGUGCCAGCAGCCGCGGUAAUACGUAGGUGGCAAG